CCCUUAGAUGUUCUGGGCCGCACGCGUGCUACACUGAGUAAUUCAAUGGGUAAGGGAACGCUAGAGCAUUACCUAAUCUUGAAAUUUGCUCGUGAUGGGGAUCGACGGUUGCAAUUUUCCGUCGUGAACGAGGAAUACCUUGUAGGCGCAUGUCAUCAUCAUGCGCCGAAUACGUCCCUGCCCUUUGUACACACCGCCCGUCGCUCCUACCGAUUGAGUGAUCCGGUGAGGCUCUGGGACCUGGACGGAAAGAGCGUUUCGCUUGUUCUGUUUGGGAAACUUGGUCGAACCUUAUCAUUUAGAGGAAGGUGAAGUCGUAACA
rnacentral:rRNA from 1 species